GGAGGGGUGCAAGCGUUGCUCGGAAUUACUGGGCGUAAAGAGCGUGUAGGCGGUUUCGUAUGUCUGGGCGUGAAAGCCCCGGGCUCACCCUGGGAAGUGCGUCGGAAACUGCGAUACUAGAGUCCCGGAGAGGAAGGUGGAAUUCCAGGUGUAGCGGUGAAAUGCGUAGAUAUCUGGAAGAACACCGGUGGCGAAGGCGGCCUUCUGGACGGUGACUGACGCUGAGACGCGAAAGCGUGGGGAGCAAACAGGAUUAGAUACCCUGGUAGUCCACGCCAUAAACGAUGGGCACUAGGUGUCGCGGGUAUUGACCCCUGCGGUGCCGCAGCUAACGCAUUAAGUGCCCCGCCUGGGGACUACGGCCGCAAGGUUA
rnacentral:rRNA from 1 species